rnacentral:rRNA from 2 species
UGGGGAAUAUUGCACAAUGGGCGAAAGCCUGAUGCAGCGACGCCGCGUGAGGGAUGACGGCCUUCGGGUUGUAAACCUCUUUCAGCAGGGACGAAGCGCAAGUGACGGUACCUGCAGAAGAAGCACCGGCUAACUACGUGCCAGCAGCCGCGGUAAUACGUAGGGUGCAAGCGUUGUCCGGAAUUACUGGGCGUAAAGAGUUCGUAGGCGGUUUGUCGCGUCGUUUGUGAAAACCAGCAGCUCAACUGCUGGCUUGCAGGCGAUACGGGCAGACUUGUGUACUGCAGGGGAGACUGGAAUUCCUGGUGUAGCGGUGAAAUGCGCAGAUAUCAGGAGGAACACCGGUGGCGAAGGCGGGUCUCUGGGCAGUAACUGACGCUGAGGAACGAAAGCGUGGGUAGCGAACAGG